rnacentral:misc_RNA from 1 species
AAGAGCGACCAGCAAAUAUCCCAACCCAGCGGUACGGUGCCGUGGGAAGCCUCGCCGUUCACGGCGAGGAGGAGGUCACCCCUGAUCGAUUC